rnacentral:rRNA from 1 species
UACGUAGGGGGCAAGCGUUGUUCGGAAAUACUGGGCGUAAAGGGCUCGUAGGCGGCCAACUAAAUCAAACGUGAAAUCCCUCGGCUUAACCGGGGAACUGCGCUUGAUACUGGAUGGCUUGAGAUUGGGAGAGGGAUGCGGAAUUCCAGGUGUAGCGGUGAAAUGCGUAGAUAUCUGGAGGAACACCGGUGGCGAAGGCGGCAUCCUGGACCAACACUGACGCUGAGGAGCGAAAGCCAGGGGAGCAAACGGG